GGUUCGAUGGCGUAGUUGGUUAUCGCAUCUGUCUAACAUCACUGCUUUCAUCUCCUUGGUCCCAGUUCGAGCCUGGGUCGAAUCA